CCUACGGGAGGCUGCAGUGAGGAAUAUUGGUCAAUGGGCGAAAGCCUGAACCAGCCAAGUAGCGUGCAGGAUGACGGCCCUACGGGUUUUAAACUGCUUUUAUACGGGAAUAACGCGCCUUACGUGUAGGGCUUUGCAUGUACCGUAUGUAUAAGGACCGGCUAAUUCCGUGCCAUCAGCCCCGGUAAUACGGAAGGUCCGGGCGUUAUCCGGAUUUAUUGGGUUUAAAGGGAGCGUAGGCCGCAUGUCAAGCCUUCUGUGAAAUUUCCGGGCUCAACCCGGGCCUUGCAGCGCGGACUGGCGUGCUUGAGUGCGCGGAAAGCAGGCGGAAUUCGUGGUGUAGCGGUGAAAUGCGUAGAUAUGACGAAGAACCCCGAUUGCGAAGGCAGCUUGCUGCAGCGGAACUGACGCUGAUGCGCGAAAGCGCGGGUAUCGAACAGGAUUAGAUACCCCUGUAGUC
rnacentral:rRNA from 1 species